AUGGCUGAACAGGAGGCGAGCGGAACGAUGGCGGAAGAAGCCAAGAUUGACGAGGACAUCUUGCAGGUGCUGCGAGACAUGGCCAAUCGCCUGCGCCUCCACGCCAUCAGGACCCUCUGCGCCUCAGGCUUUCGCCACCCCAUAUUGUGCAGCAGUGCAUCUGAGAUCAUGUCCGUGCUGUUGUUCUACAUCAUGAGGUAUAAACUCACGGACCCGGAGAACCCGAACAAUGACAGAUUCGUCCUCUCCAAGAGACUGUCGUUUGUUAAUGUGGCAACUGGAUGGCUGGGGCAAGGACUGGGGAUCGCGUGUGGGAUGGCAUAUACUGGCAGGUACUUUGACAAGGCCAGCUACCGGGUGUUCUGCCUCAUUGGAGAUGGCGAGUCCUCGGAAGGCUCCGUCUGGGAGGCCAUGGCCUUUGCUUCCCACUACAGUCUGGACAAUCUCGUGGCCAUCUUUGACGUGAAUCACCUGUGCCACAGCGGCACCCAGCCCUUCGAGCACUGUGUAGACCUCUUUCAGAAGCGCUGUGAAGCCUUUGGAUGGAGUACUUUCGUGGUGGAUGGCCGCGAUGUGGAGGCACUGUGCCAUGUGUUCCAGCAGGCGGCUCAAGUGAAGAGCAAGCCCACUGCUGUAGUUGCCAAGACCUUCAGGGGCCACGGCAUGCCACAUGUUGAGGAUGCAGAAAAUUGCCAUGAAAGGUCAAUGCCAAAAGAAAGAGUGGAAACAAUUAUCAAACUAAUUGAGAGCCAGAUACAGACCAAGAAGAAGCUUAACCCAAAACCCCCUGUUGAAGACUCACCUCAAAUCAACAUCACAGAUAUAGAAAUGACCUCUCCACCUGCUUACAAUGUCGGUGACAUGAUAGCUACUCGGAAAGCAUGUGGUCUGGCCCUGGCUAAGCUGGGCCGUGCAAAUGACAGAGUCGUUGUGCUGGACGGUGACAGCAAGAACUCCACCUUCUCUGACAUAUUCAAGAAGGAACACCCUGAGCACUUCGUUGAGUGUUCUUCUGAGCAAAGCAUGGUGAGCGUGGCACUGGGAUGCGCCACCCGUGGUCGGAUGGUUACUUUUCUUUGCACCUUCGCUGCCUUUUUGACCCGAGCAUUUGAUCAGAUCCGGAUGGGAGCCAUCUCUCGAACCAGCAUCAACCUUAUUGGGUCCCACUGCGGGGUAUCCAUAGGUGAAGACAGCCCCUCCCAGAUGGCCCUGGAGGAUCUGGCCAUGUUCCGAACGGUUCCGAACUGCACUAUUUUCUAUCCAAGCGAUGCCAUCUCAACGGAGCAUGCUGUGUUGCUGGCGGCCAAUACCAAGGGGAUGUGCUACAUUCGGAUCAGUCGGCCAGAAACUGCAGUUAUUUACACCCCAGAUGAAAUCUUUGAGAUUGGACGGGCCAAGGUCGUCCGCAACAGUGUCAACGACAGGCUCACAGUUGUUGGAGCUGGAGUGACUUUGCAUGAAGCCUUAGCAGCCGCCGAUGAUCUUUCUAAGCAAGAAGAUAUUUCUAUCCGCGUCAUCGACCUGUUUACUGUUAAACCCCUGGAUGCAGCCACCGUCAUCUCCAACGCAAAAGCCACAGGUGGCCAGAUUAUCACAGUGGAGGAUCACUCUUCAGAAGGUGUGUGCAGGCCUUGGGGACCACUUUGAAAGUCUGCUUUGGUGCAGCGUGUUUUUGUUUUCCUUGACCAGAGGUGUGCCAUGAUCGUGGGCAGCACCUCCAGCCAACCACUCACCCAGCAACCUGUAUUACUCGCUCUUUGCGACGGUAUGGGUAUAGGAUCUCUUGCCCGCCUACACUGGCUGGCCAAGGGUGGGGCCAUGCCCAUCCUCGUUUGUGUGUGCUCAGCACAGUGUGCAGUGCCUGGUCCCCGGGUAGCUGGUUCAGUGGCAGUGCAGAGGAGUGUCUAACUUGGCAUUGUGAGGGGAGGCGUCAUAAGAAGCUUCACAGUUGCUCUUGAGUAUUGAAUGAUUAAUAGUUUGCCCCCCACAAAAAAAUGGCAAUGGUGCCUUGCAAGCAGAGAACACAGCAAACGCAGGAAAAGUGUGGCCAGGGAGAGGGGGCUGGGCAGUGUUUGGCUAGGGAAGGUCAGGUGGGGCAGAGGAGGGAGUGGGGAGCUUCAUGUGUUUGCGUGUCAGGGGCCCCAAGAACACCCCGUGACCUGCAGGAAAGCACUCCAGUGCCCUCCCGGCUGAAGUUGAUGACAGGGACAGGGCAUGCACCAGCACCCCCAAGGACAGAAGACGCGGGUUGGGGGUGGAGAACCCCACACCUUCGGCUUCCCCUCUCCCUCCCAUGAGGGGCCAGCCGAGCACUCUCCCUUCUCCGGCAGUGACAGAUGCCUCCCUGGAGACCCAGGGAGCCCACUCGAGACUCAGCGCCCCGGGUUUCAUUGAGGGCUGGUCGCUGCCCGGCACGUGCCAAACUUUCCGAUUCCCAGAGGAAAGCAGGUGCGCCCCCUAAACCACCCUGUGGUGCCAGAGUCCAGGCACAGGGACCACCCUUAUCAGUAGGGAAAGUGUCUUGUUGAUGCAGGGCACUCGCACCAGCCCACUGCCCGGGCACCACCCUGGGGCCAGCCUUGCAAGCCGGCCCUUCCGAAGCCGGCAUCCAGUUCGUAGGUUCCUGACAGCUUUGAGAAUCUGAGUUCCACAGACGCCUGCAUCCCUGGAGCCCCAGUGGAAAGAGCCCCUGCCGUGGCAUCGGGGAGGCUGUUUGUGCAGCGGUAUCCAUGGUGCCUGAUAUCCUGGUCCAUCAGCUGGCAGUGCCAGGAGCACCUCGGAGCGAAAAGCCGAAUGAGCCGCUCAGUAU